AAACUCUGAGACGUGAUGCCGAGUCGAUUCAGACGAAGUCACUGAUUCCAUACCGUCAAGAAAAGCCCAACAGUGAGUUGGCACGGCACCCGUACCCCAAACCGACACAGGUGGGCGGGUAGAGAAUACCAAGGCGAUCGGGAGAACUGUGGUUAAGGAACUCGGCAAAUUACAUCCGUAACUUCGGGAGAAGGAUGACCCUUUCUGGUGUAGAGAUUUACUCUCGAAGCUGGGGAGGGUGGCACAGACCAGGGGGUAGCGACUGUUUACCAAAAACACAGCAGCGUGCCAAGCCGCAAGGCGCUGUAUACGCUGUGACGCCUGCCCAAUGCUGGAAGGUCACGGGGAAUGGUUAGUCGAAAGGCGAAGCUAUGAACCUAAGCCCCAGUGAAUGGCGGCCGUAACUAUAACGGUCCUAAGGUAGCGAAAUUCCUUGUCAGGUAAGUUCUGACCUGCACGAAUGGCGUAACGACUUCCCCGCUGUCUCAACCACAGACCCGGCGAAAUUGAAGUACGAGUAAAGAUGCUCGUUUGCUGCGGAAGGACGGAAAGACCCCAUGGACCUUCACUACAACUUGAUAUUGAGUCUUGACCUGCAUUGUGUAGGAUAGGUGGGAGGCUUGGAAGCAUUGGCGCUAGCCAGUGUGGAGCCAACGUUGAAAUACCACCCUGUGUAUGUUGGGACUCUAACCCGGGAUCAUGAUCUGGUUCGGGAACAGUGUCAGGCGGGUAGUUUGACUGGGGCGGUCGCCUCCUAAAAUGUAACGGAGGCGCCCAAAGGUUCCCUCAGGCUGGUUGGCAAUCAGCCGUCGAGUGCAAUGACACAAGGGAGCUUGACUGCGAGACUGACAGGUCAAGCAGGUGCGAAAGCAGGGCAUAGUGACCCGGCCAUCACGUGUGGAAGUGUGGUCGCUCAACGGAUAAAAGGUACCCUGGGGAUAACAGGCUAGUCUUUCCCAAGAGUCCAUAUCGACGGAAAGGUUUGGCACCUCGAUGUCGGCUCAUCGCAUCCUGGGGCUGAAGCAGGCCCCAAGGGUUGGGCUGUUCGCCCAUUAAAGCGGUACGCGAGCUGGGUUCAGAACGUCGUGAGACAGUUCGGUCCCUAUCCCCCACAGCCGUAGGAAUAUUGAGGAAGGCUGUCCCUAGUACGAGAGGACCGGGACGGACGGAGCUCUGGUGUGUCUGUUGUCCUGCCAAGGGCAUGGCAGAUUAGCCACCUCCGGAAGGGAUAACUGCUGAAAGCAUCUAAGUAGGAAACCCGUUCCAAGAUGAGUAUUCCCAUGCGGUUAACGCAGUAAGGCCCGUGACGAGACCAUCACGUUGAUAGGCCGGAGGUGUACG
rnacentral:rRNA from 1 species